GUAGCCUCAUUAAACAGUUCCGGGGAAUCUCCUAGCUUCUCUAAAGGGGCUGUGAAGUCUGUUGAGAGGGGGAGACCCUAAACCUAGUCUAUGAAGAGGGCAAGCCGGGUGUGAAGUAUUGAUCAGCCUCACUAGUGUUUUGAAGAUGAUCUGGUCGCGUCCUAGCUUCUCUAAGAUGGCUGAGAAGUCAGUUGAGAGGGUGAGACUCCAAACCGGUUCCAUGAAGAGGUGAAGCUGAAGUGUGAAGUG
rnacentral:lncRNA from 1 species